UACGGAGGAUGCGAGCGUUAUCCGGAUUUAUUGGGUUUAAAGGGUGCGCAGGCGGAAUGUCAAGUCAGCGGUAAAAUUUCGGGGCUCAACCCCGUCGUGCCGUUGAAACUGGCGUUCUUGAGUGAGCGAGAAGUAUGCGGAAUGCGUGGUGUAGCGGUGAAAUGCAUAGAUAUCAGGAGGAACAUCGGUGGCGUAAGCGCUUUACUGGGCCGUAAUUGACGCUGAGGAACGAAAGCCAGGGUAGCAAAUGGG
rnacentral:rRNA from 1 species